rnacentral:rRNA from 1 species
UGGGGAAUAUUGGACAAUGGGGGCAACCCUGAUCCAGCGAUGCCGCGUGGGUGAAGAAGGCCUUCGGGUUGUAAAGCCCUUUAGGUUGGGAAGAAGUGCCUUAACUGAAUAAGUUGGGGUGUUGACGGUACCGACAGAAUAAGCACCGGCAAACUCUGUGCCAGCAGCCGCGGUAAUACAGAGGGUGCGAGCGUUAAUCGGAGUUACUGGGCGUAAAGGGCGCGUAGGCGGUAAGAUGUGUGUGAUGUGAAAAUCCAGGGCUUAACCCUGGACUUGCAGUGGAUACGGGCGAACUAGAGGUAGGUAGGGGAGAAUGGAAUUCCCGGUGUAGCGGUGAAAUGCGCAGAUAUCGGGAGGAACACCGGUGGCGAAGGCGGUUCUCUGGGCCUUACCUGACACUGAGGAGCGAAAGCGUGGGGAGCGAACAGGAUUAGAUACCCUGGUAGUCCACGCCGUAAACGUUGGGCGCUAGGUGUGGGGUCCUUCCACGGAUUCCGUGCCGCAGCUAACGCAUUAAGCGCCCCGCCUGGGGAGUACGGCCGCAAGGCUA